UUGAACGCUGGCGGCAUGCUUUACACAUGCAAGUCGAACGAAGGCUUCGGCCUUAGUGGCGCACGGGUGAGUAACACGUGGGAAUAUACCUCUCAGUGGGGGAUAACGUCGGGAAACUGACGCUAAUACCGCAUACGCCCUUCGGGGGAAAGAUUUAUCGCUGAGAGAUUAGCCCGCGUCCGAUUAGCUAGUUGGUAAGGUAAUGGCUUACCAAGGCUACGAUCGGUAGCUGGUCUGAGAGGAUGAUCAGCCACACUGGGACUGAGACACGGCCCAGACUCCUACGGGAGGCAGCAGUGGGGAAUAUUGGACAAUGGGCGAAAGCCUGAUCCAGCCAUGCCGCGUGAGUGAUGAAGGCCUUAGGGUUGUAAAGCUCUUUCGACGGGGACGAUGAUGACGGUACCCGUAGAAGAAGCCCCGGCUAACUUCGU
rnacentral:rRNA from 1 species